AUUCUUCUUCAAUAUGCCCUUCCGUCCAAGUACAAAGCUGGACAGAGCAGGCACAGACAGCCGGCAGUAUGGCUGUGUUCCAGAAAGGCCUAGGCCAAGACUCCUCUAAGAACUUUCUCGAGCCGGGGCCUAGGGCCAGCAGUGAUAAAGUUAGAAGAGGAAGAGCACUGGCAUCCUUUGAUCUGUAACUGGUACCAGAAGCAGCCUUCUAAACUGCUCGAAGUGCUUAGGUUUGCUGCUGGAGCUGGACUUCCAAGGCCCCCACUUCGAGGCUGGCUCAUCUUUAAAUUCACAUUGAACAGUAGUAGAUGGUUAAAGCCAACACUUGCAAUAUGGUCUGGGGCUGGUGGAGGAGAGAACGGUGAAAUAUCAUACACCUGUAUAUAUCUGUUCAAGCUGAGCUCUAGAACUUGGUUUUAACAUGCAGAAUCCGUGGCGACCCUGUCUGCCCGGCGAGGGUGCUGCGAUGCUUUCCAUCCUGGGCUUAGAAUGGGCUCAGAGCCAGUUCCUUCGUUCCCAGUGGCGGCCAGCAGGGCAGACUGAGCAGGCGCAGAGAGCUUUGAUGUCAACAGAGGAAAGACUAUGUUGUCAAGAUUAAGUUACAGCCUCAUGGCCCUAUGAGUGAGCCUCGCUGCUGACUAACUCUCUCACUCAUUUUCCUGCUGGAGAUGUUUUUUCUUCGUGAACUUUCACUGUUUCUGAAUACUUUAAACAAAGAAAAUGACCGAAGGCAGGAAAAACAUCGGGGACUUCUUAACCGAUGGAGCCUUUUACAGGCUUUAUUAUGUAACGGCUGCUUUCGUUUUGUGAGCACCAAAGGAAGUUGAAGAAAUCUCUUUCUUCUUGAGCAUUUAACUGCCAAAGAACAAUGAGACAUGGCUUCACGUGGGCAGCAACACUCACUUUAAAACUCCAGUUGGAACGCGGAGUGUGUGGUAAAACAAAGCUGCCUUAAGGAAUCUGGGUCUUAAAGUGUUCAGUGAUUUGGGCAGGAUUGCAGCAUGAAUUACUGUAUUUCGUCCCCACGGAAAUCAAUUCUUUGGAAUUCCCUUACGGGGCCUGGUCUAGCGACAGAGGAGUGUGACAACUAAUGGGGCCCCAUGCAUGCUUUCCCAUAAGGAUGCUUCUCUCCGCCAGAGCUUUGGCAGGCGGAAGGGGGAGAGAUGAGAUCCUUGAUCUAGGCCCCUACCUUGCCUGCCUGUGGGUCUGUCACGCUGACCUCAGUUUGAUGACCUGAGGCUGCAGGAAGCAACUCGAGCACCCACCGUUGUUUCUCCAGCCCAGUGCCUUGGUUAUACAACCCCGACCCGGUUUCUCCAAGGCCACUCAAGUCCUGAGGACCAUCAGACCGUGAGUCAGAAUCACUGCACCAUUUCCUCCUAAGCUCCUUCUGGUUUAGUUUACACCUCAGCCCCUUCGGUCUCUUUCUUGGGGUCCCCAGGCCCUGCGUGGCAGCUUUUGUCUCUCUCUUCCUUCGGGGCCCUGGGUCCUCGCGGCGGUUUUCGCUUUCCAACAUAAUUCCACGGGAUCGCCCGCGCCAGCCCCUGCAGGCCCUGCCCCAGCUCCUCUUGUCUCCGCUUUUCCUGAAGUCGGCCUGCUGUCUUUACUGCUGCUUUUUCUGGGACACUUCAAGUUGUGGAGAGAGGUGGUUUUUUUUUUUCCCCCUGUGAUUAUAGCUCUUUCUUCCAAUUUUGACUAGUCUGGCGUCUCUCUGAUUAUAGCUCAUUAGGACUCCUGAAGUUAGAAGGCACUGUUUUUUUUAUGCUGCCUUGUUUUUAUUUUUUAAAAUAACAUGCAUUAUAACUUAUUUUUUGGUUUUUUUGGCUUGGUUUUUUU